CAGGGGACCUUCGGGCCUUGCGCUAUCAGAUGAGCCUAGGUCGGAUUAGCUAGUAGGUGAGGUAAUGGCUCACCUAGGCGACGAUCCGUAACUGGUCUGAGAGGAUGAUCAGUCACACUGGAACUGAGACACGGUCCAGACUCCUACGGGAGGCAGCAGUGGGGAAUAUUGGACAAUGGGCGAAAGCCUGAUCCAGCCAUGCCGCGUGUGUGAAGAAGGUCUUCGGAUUGUAAAGCACUUUAAGUUGGGAGGAAGGGCAGUAAGUUAAUACCUUGCUGUUUUGACGUUACCAACAGAAUAAGCACCGGCUAACUUCGUG
rnacentral:rRNA from 1 species